GGCUCUAUAGUGCAGCGGUUAGCACGUCCGCUUUACACACAGAAGGUCCUGGGUUCGUACCCCAGCGGAGCCA
rnacentral:tRNA from 1 species